rnacentral:lncRNA from 1 species
CACCAUGGUGACUUGCAAGCAACUCACUGUACUUCAGUGUCGAACUAACUAAGUUUCUAAUUCAGUGAUAAAAAAUUUCUGGAUGCAGUCAAGUACUUGUCAAGUCGAUACCUAAGUCAAGAUGAGAUUGACCCCUCCGAAUUAGUAAGAGUUAAUGUAUUAAUAUAUUUUAAUUUAGCAAAAUUUGAGCCCGGAUAAUCC